AGUCAUUGGGUAUUUGAAAACCUAAAGGCGUAAUUAACUUAACUGUUUUAUAUGGGAUCAAUUAUGUAUAUAAUUAAUUUAUAUAUAUAUUCCAUCCCGGGGCGUUCUAUAUAGUUAUGUAUAUUAAUAUAUUUUAUAUAUUAUUUAUGCCUCUAACUAGAGCGUACCUUGAGCAUAUAUGUUGUGACCCGAAAGAUGGUGAACUAUACCUGAUCAGGUUGAAGUCAGGGGAAACCCUGAUGGAAGACCGAAACAGUUCUGACGUGCAAAUCGAUUGUCAGAAUUGGGUAUAGGGGCGAAAGACCAAUCGAACCAUCUAGUAGCUGGUUCCCUCCGAAGUUUCCCUCAGGAUAGCUGGUGCAAUUAAAUAUUAUAUAAAAUAAUCUUAUCUGGUAAAGCGAAUGAUUAGAGGCAUUAGGGCCGAAACGACCUUAACCUAUUCUCAAACUUUAAAUGGGUAAGAACCUCACCUUUCUUGAUAUGAAGGUUGAGGUUGUGAUAUAUUGUGCCCAGUGGGCCACUUUUGGUAAGCAGAACUGGCGCUGUGGGAUGAACCAAACGUGAUGUUACGGCGCCCAAAUUAACAACUCAUACUGAUACCAUGAAAGGCGUUGCUUGCUUAAAACAGCAGGACGGUGGACAUGGAAGUCGUAAUCCGCUAAGGAGUGUGUAACAACUCACCUGCCGAAGCAACUAGCCCUUAAAAUGGAUGGCGCUCAAGUUGUAUGCCUAUACAUCACCGUUAAGGUAUAUGAUUUAUUAAAAAAUUAUAUUUUUUAUAAAUUUUGAAACUUUAAUGAGUAGGAGGGUACAAUGGUGUGCGUAGAAGUGUUUGGCGUAAGCCUGCAUGGAGCCGCCAUUGGCACAGAUCUUGGUGGUAGUAGCAAAUAAUCGAAUGAGACCUUGGAGGACUGAAGUGGAGAAGGGUUUCGUGUGAACAGUGGUUGAUCACGAGUUAGUCGGUCCUAAGUUCAAGGCGAAAGCCGAAAAAUGUUAAGUUACAUAUUAUACAUAUAUAAUAUACUUAAUAAUUUUGAACGAAAGGGAAUACGGUUCCAAUUCCGUAACCUGUUGAGUAUACGUUUGUUAUUAAAAAUGGGCUUUUAUGCUCAUCCUGGUAACAGAAACAACCAUAAAGAAGCCGUCGAGAAAUAUCGAAAGAGUUUUCUUUUCUGUUUCAUAGUCGUACUACCAUGGAAGUCUUUCGAAGAGAGAUAUGGUAGAUGGACUAGAAGAGCAUGGCAUUUACUGCUGUGUCGAUAUUUUCUCCUCGGACCUUGAAAAUUUAUGGUAGGGUCACGCAAACUUCUUAACAGGCCGUACCGAUAUCCGCAGCUGGUCUCCAAGG
rnacentral:rRNA from 1 species